rnacentral:rRNA from 1 species
AUAUUGGACAAUGGGCGAAAGCCUGAUCCAGCCAUGCCGCGUGUGUGAAGAAGGUCUUCGGAUUGUAAAGCACUUUAAGUUGGGAGGAAGGGCAGUAAGUUAAUACCUUGCUGUUUUGACGUUACCGACAGAAUAAGCACCGGCUAACUUCGUGCCAGCAGCCGCGGUAAUACGAAGGGUGCAAGCGUUAAUCGGAAUUACUGGGCGUAAAGCGCGCGUAGGUGGUUUGUUAAGUUGGAAGUGAAAGCCCCGGGCUCAACCUGGGAACUGCAUUGGAUACUGGCGGGCUAGAGUACGGUAGAGGGUGGCGGAAUUCCUGGUGUAGCAGUGAAAUGCGUAGAUAUAGGAAGGAACACCAGUGGCGAAGGCGACCACCUGGGCUAAUACUGACACUGAGGUGCGAAAGCGUGGGGAGCAAACAGG